rnacentral:lncRNA from 1 species
GAUUGAAAGUCCUCUGUUUCAAUUUGUUUUUUUUUUUUUUACUUGUAUGUUAGCUGAUAUUAUCUGCAUGUGAAUUUGUGAUCUGGGUAGUUGGGUAUUGAAUCUUGAAGGGCACUGAUCAGAACUAGAGUUGAUAUCCUGGGUUGUUGAGGAGACACCGAAGUUGCAGAAUCCAACCAAAAUCCUACAUUUUCACCUAUGUAGUUGAUCUCAUGAGUUAAUGGGGGUAAGGCUAGCUGACAUUCACCUCUCCCAGACCCUGCGUAAAGCGGGAGCCUUGUGCACUGGGUACGACCUUUUUUAUAUGGGUACUUCUAAAUGUGUUGGACCCUCAUGCUUGAAAUAUUGAUUAAAAUAUGUGUAAUUUGUAUUGGGAUGCAAAAGUAUUAAAAAAAAAAAAUUGUUAACGGGUGACCCAUUAGCUUAACAGGUUGAGUUUGGAUGACCCCCGUUAGCUUAACUGGUUAGGUUAAAGUAACCUGUUAUCCUAACGGGUUGGGUGAAACCUGAUCCAAAUCCAAUAAACCCGACCCGUUUAUAGGUUUACUAUUUAUGAAUUUAGGAAGGAUUUUUAACAUUUUUUGCUACUAAAUUUUCUUAAUCUAUACUGAAAUUUUUAACAUUUUGUCCUUCAAUCAAGGUAUUCAAACUAAUAAAGUUUCAAUCUAGGAUUUUAUGGAACUAGGGGCCAGAACUAAAGUUUUCCUUUAAUAAAAAAUAAAAUCACAUAUGUCACUACUCCCAUAACCUCACCAACACAACCACCAUAUCCUCCACUGCCAUCACCCUUGCCACCCUUGCCACCCUG